AGCCCAUGGUACGAACAUUAUUUCAUUAUUUCCUUAAAUCGCUCAAAUGAUUAGAAGAGAAAGUCACCAUCAUUCUGCUAAAAGCAUAUAAUUUGAUUCUUUAGUU